CCUACGGGUGGCUGCAGUGGGGAAUAUUGGACAAUGGGCGCAAGCCUGAUCCAGCCAUGCCGCGUGAGUGAUGAAGGCCUUAGGGUUGUAAAGCUCUUUCACCGGAGAAGAUAAUGACGGUAUCCGGAGAAGAAGCCCCGGCUAACUUCGUGCCAGCAGCCGCGGUAAUACGAAGGGGGCUAGCGUUGUUCGGAAUUACUGGGCGUAAAGCGCACGUAGGCGGAUUUUUAAGUCAGGGGUGAAAUCCCAGAGCUCAACUCUGGAACUGCCUUUGAUACUGGGUAUCUUGAGUAUGGAAGAGGUAAGUGGAAUUCCGAGUGUAGAGGUGAAAUUCGUAGAUAUUCGGAGGAACACCAGUGGCGAAGGCGGCUUACUGGUCCAUUACUGACGCUGAGGUGCGAAAGCGUGGGGAGCAAACAGGAUUAGAUACCCUAGUAGUC
rnacentral:rRNA from 1 species